rnacentral:ncRNA from 1 species
AGAUUUGCACUGAAGCAGCUAGUAAACUGAUGUAGUCAUUUUAGAGAGUCAUGUUAGCUGAAAAUUGACUGAUGAAGUUAGUUGAAUCCACUGCCGAGCUUUCCUAAUGAAUUAAGUUAGGACGGGUUAUCGUUAACUAAAAGAGUGCUGCAGUCCGGAAUGCAGUUAACUUGGGUGGUACCAUGUUUGCAAUUAACAUCCCAUAG